rnacentral:lncRNA from 1 species
UGCAAAUGGUACAUUACAUUUGCAAAAAUGAAUUCAACUUAUGCCUUAGUUUUGACACAUGCUUAUAUUUCUUUUGAAGACAGAUAUCCAGACAGCUUAUAUUUACUUAUGAAAAUGCACUUCUGAUGCUUAAAUAGUUUGUAUUAUUAUAUAAGCUUUUUUUAUAGAUAUAUCUACAUACCUGAGGAUGAGCUAAAGCUCCUUUGUUGUUUCUAGCAACCUCUAGAGGGAUAUCAAAGGUAGCACAGGCAUGUGAAUACACCACCACAUUUUCUAGGGGAUUCAGAAAACCGCGGUUUUUAGCUGACAUUGUUGAGCAUACAAAAUCCAGAACACAGAUAUCUGUGCAUACACCUACAACAACCAGCUUCACCAAUACAAUCAAUAAAUUAAUUAGUGGUUGUAUAAGAUGAUAUUAAAAGUUUAGACUUUUAUCUAGCUAUAGGGGAAUGAAAUGCUUUCAUGUGAAGAGAUAAUAGAUAGAUUAUAGAUACAAGACCUUUUGCAUAAGGUCCCAUGAAUUUUAAGAUGGUCACAUUAUUUAGAGCAGUUGUAUAUAUUUUUCUUUUCACAUGAGAUGACCUUCAUAUCUGAAUAUUUUAGUUGCAACAGUAACAAUUACAAUAAUACUCAAAUUGCAGUAACACUCACAGUUUUGAUCUUAUUCUUCUUCACCCAAUCUACAAAAACGUUAGAACCAUCUUCUUCUAUUGAGCCCAAAUAUCCAUCAAAACAAUCCUUACGCUUGAUUGUUACAUUGGUUUCAUUCUCUAGCCAUCUUAAAGCUGCAAUUCAAGAAAAACAAGACAACAUGAAUUUAGAUGGAGAAGGGGAGCAUGGGGGUUUUGAAAACAGUUGAACCAUUAGUAGUGGAAAUUCACAUCUCAGUAUAGUAUUAGGGAAUAUGUAUAGCAUUCAAAAUGCUGUUCAGUGAAUAGAAACAAUUAGAUGCUUUUGGUUGAUACAGGAUUACAGAAAAUCUUUACUUAUUCCUUAGUAGUUGUAGUAAGAGAGGCUGUAAGCACCCUUUCCCUAAGUGGUUCAAAAGAUACUUGCUCAGAUUCAUGAAUUGCAGGUAUAAUUCUGAGCAAAAAAAGUAUUAUUGAACUUAAUAAGUGUACAACUUAGCAUAUAUGUUACAAAAUUAGUAGUACCACAUGUAUCUGGUUAUGUAUCCAUUUUAAUAUACAUAUCAUGCAAGAAAAUCAUGUGCCUAAUAUUUAAGAGAGUAAGAAGAGAAAAAUAUGAAAAUGGUUGCUAAACCUGGAACCAGAUUUGAUUCAUCAGUCCCAGCAAUACAGUGAGGAGGAUAAGGGUCCUCUGGCUUGUUAGGAUGGUGAGAAUCCAGGAAAGCCAUAACUGGCAAUUUCUUCUCACAGAACAGUCUAGCUAGCCUUGCUGAUUCAUUGAUCAUUCCUGAAAUUUGUCUAUUUGGUACUCUUGGAGCCUGAAAAUAUCAUCCAUCACUUAAGGCUUGAUCCACUUCAAGAGCAAAAAAGGAAAAUCAUUGAAGACAACUCUAUUCUAGUUUACUAAAACUGAGAAACAUAAAAAUAAGUAAAGAUAAAAACACACAAGACUAUCUCAACACUUGACUUAAAAAAAGAAGGUAGAGCAAUUAAUCAGGUACCAGAUUUCCAGCACCAACUGUGCAGAAACCAUUUAUGAUGUCCACAAGAACAAGACCAUUUACACUGUCUUCAGCUAAAAUCACUGAUUCUUGCUCCAGAGGAAUCUCAUUCUUUAGGAGUUCUACUGUUUGUGACACCAUUUUGGUUUGGUUAUUACUUCAGUAAGUAAUCAAUUGGAUGCAAGGAAUUUUGUGGUAUUCAGCAUGACACAUAGGAUAUGAUUUUAUAAUGUAGUGAGUCCAAUCUCCAUAAUGUAAGUCCGUGACUCAAUUUAGCAGAAAAGUCAAAACAAAUCCCAUUGUUGAUAAGAACUUAGACUUUUCUCAACCAUAUCACAAUCAUCUUUCACCACCAAAGAUAUCCAACUCUGCCAUGCUAAUUUAAUAUUUUCUUAAAACACAGAGGCAAUAAAUUAAGUAUUUUUAAUUUUAAAAAAUAAACAAAGGAUAGUAGAAUCACACCUUAGGUGAUUUAGACGUGCAUGAAGAAGUUCAAUCGACAUCCUGCAAAGAUAAUAGAUUAAACGAAAGCUAGUCCAUAUUAUCGACCUCGCUAGUGGGAUAAAGACCGGGUUGUCCUUAUUAAAAAUAAACAAAAGUUUACGUGAUACUUUACCUUUUUAAUAGUCUCCCUCCACUAUUUUCUCACUCAAAGAAUUUUCAUCCUUUCAUUAAAGUUGCUUAUUUUUCCCCCUACUUGUCAUUACACCAUGUUGCUUCCAAACAAUUUCCAACUAGACAUUAUCUAUGGCCUGCUUGUUGACUUCAUACGUCAAGGCAAAAAUCUCCUUGUUAAAAAUCUUUUCAUUUGAUAUUAUCACUACAUACAAUCUAUCUUACAUUUUAAUUUUGUGAGUUACAAGAUGGCAGAGGCAAUCCUUGAAGUUGUGCUUGAGAAUUUAAGCUCACUCAUUCAAAAAGAGCUAGGACUUUUUCUUGGAUUUGAUCAAGACUUGAAAAGGCUUUCCAGCACACUCACUGCAAUGAAGGCAACUCUUGAAGAUGCUGAGGAGAAGCAAUUCUCAUAUAGAGCUAUCAAGGAUUGGCUGCAAAAGCUGGAGCAUGCAGCUCAUAUCUUGGAUGACAUCUUAGACGAGUGCGCGACUCAAGCCUUGCAGCUCGAGUAUGGAGGAAGUGGAUUGUUGGACAAGGUACAAACCUCUUGCUUAUCCUCUUUUAAUCCCAAACAUGUCAUUUUCCGUCGGAAAAUUGCUAAGGAAAUGAGAAUGAUAAGAGAUAGAUUAGGUGAAAUUGCUGAAGAAAAAAAUCAGUUUCAUUUCAUUGAGAUGCAUACAGAGAGGAGAAAUAGAGUCAUAGACUGGCGCCAAACCACCUCAAUUGCUACCAAACUUCAGAUCUAUGGAAGAGAAGAAGAUGCUGAUAAAAUUGUAAAGUUUUUGGUUGGUGAUGCUUCUAAUUUUGAGGAUUUAACUAUCUUUCCCAUAGUAGGUAUGGGUGGACUUGGAAAAACAACUCUUGCCCAACUUAUCUAUAAUCAUGAGAGAGUAGUUAAUCACUUUGAGCAAAGAAUUUGGGUAUGUGUUUCAGAAGAUUUCAAUUUGAAGAGAAUGACAAAAGUUAUCAUCGAAUCAGCGUCUGGGGAGGCAUGUGAAGAUUUGGAUCUUGAUCCACUACAAAAGAAACUUCAAAAGCUGCUUCAAAUGAAAAGAUUUUUGCUUGUUUUGGAUGAUGUUUGGGAUGAACACCAAGAGAAUUGGGAGAGAUUGAAAAAUGCAUUAGCUUGUGGAGCAAAGGGUGCUUCAAUAUUAGUCACUACUCGUCUUUCAAAGGUUGCAUCCAUUAUGGGAACAACGCCUCCUUAUCAAUUAUCAGUGCUAUCUAAAGAUGAUUGUUGGGAAGUAUUUAAACAGCGAGCUUUUCAGCCAAAUGAGGAAUGCACAGAGCUUGUGGUCAUAGGGAAGGAAAUUGUAAAGAAGUGUGGGGGAGUGCCUCUUGCAGCAAAAACACUUGGAGGUUUGUUGCGCUUUAAAAGAGAGGAGAAGGAAUGGCUCUAUGUCAAGGAAAGCAAGCUAUGGAAUCUAACACAAGAUGAGAACUCUGUCAUGCCUGCCUUGAGAUUAAGCUACUUGAACUUAUCCAUACAAUUGAGACAAUGUUUUGCCUUCUGUGCAAUAUUUCCCAAAGGUAAAAUAAUUGGGAAGCAUUUUAUGAUCAAACUUUGGGUGGCUAAUGGAUUCAUUUCAUCCAACCAAAUGUUGGAAGCUGAGGAUGUUGGUGAUGAGGUGGUGAAUGAAUUAUAUUGGAGAUCAUUGUUUCAAGAUAUUGAGACUGAUGAAUUUGGCAAAAUUACAUAUUUCAAGAUGCACGAUCUAGUUCAUGAUCUUUCUCAGUCUAUUGCAGAGGGAGUUUGCCACAAUACAAAUGACAAUGGUGUAACUAGGUUGUCUGAAAGAAUCUGCCAUCUCUUAAUUCACAAUGGGAAGUCAUUUAAACAGCUAGUUGAUUCAAUCCAAUUACACCAAUUCCAAUCAUUGAGAACUUGUAUAAUACAAAAUCCAAGCCAGCAAUAUGUCCAACUUUUAUCUCAUGUAUUUAGAUGUUAUUCUCUGAGGUUGCUUGACAUUAAGGCGCUACCAAAAUUAUCAUCCUCAAUUGGUUAUUUCAAACAUCUAAGGUACUUGAAUCUUUCACACGGUACCUUCAAAACUCUUCCAAAAUCCCUAUGUAAGUUGUUGAAUUUGCAGAUUUUGAACUUACAUUGUUGUCAUUUUCUCCAAAGGUUACCCGACCGCGUAAAAUUUUUGAAAUCUCUUCGGCAUCUAUGUUUGACAGAAUGCAACUCACUAUCAAGAUUGGCUCCUGAGAUAGGAAGGUUAACUUCCCUGAGGACUUUAAGCAUGUACAUUGUUGGUAAACAAAGAGGGUUACUUUUGGGUGAAUUGGGUCAACUAAACCUUACAGGAGAGCUCCACAUCAAACACAUGGAAAGAGUAAAAAAUGUAAUGGAUGCCAAAGAUGCCAAUUUGAAAAGUAAGCAACUGAACAAAUUGGUGUUGUCAUGGGACAGAAAUGAAGAAUCUCAAGUACAAGAAAAUGUGGAGCAAAUUAUUGAAGUGCUUCAACCUCAUCCCAAAGAAUUGCAAACUUUUUGCGUGGAAGGAUAUCCAGGAGUGACAUUCCCACAAUGGAUAGCCAGCCAUUCUCUCAAGAAUUUAAGUUGUGUAAACCUCAUGGACUGUGAAAGCUGUUUACACCUUCCACCGCUGGGAAAACUACCAUCUCUAAAUUUCCUUAAGAUAUCUAACAUGAAACAUCUGAAACACAUGGACAAUGAACCAUAUGAUGUUGGACUUGUGGGAAACUACAUAGCUCUAGAAUUCCUGCAAAUUAGUCAUUGUCCAAAAUUGGCCUUGCCUUGCCUUCCAUCUCUCAAACAACUACAAAUAGAGGGGAAAUCCAGCCAUGAUUUGCUAAGCUCAAUUCACAUAUUUCAUAGUCUUGAAUGCUUACGGUUUAUGGACAAUGAAGAGUUAAUUUCAUUUCCCGAUGAGAUGCUACGUGGCCUUACUUCUCUAAAGAAACUGGAGAUUUAUUAUUACUCCAAACUUGAGGUACUCCCACUUGAAAUCAUGAACCUUAAUGCUAUCCAAGAACUUAAUAUUAACCACUGCAACAGCCUAGAGCCAGUGACAGAUCAAAUGUUGCAAGGGUUUCUCUCUCUCAAAAGAUUAGAAAUUGUGUCCUAUUGCAAGUUUAAUUUUUCAACAGGUUUUCAAUACUUGACUUCUCUUGAGGAUUUGACAAUUUCCAGUUGCCCGGAGGUGCAAGGUUUCCCCGAAUCUUUACAACAUAUGACCUCCCUCCAAUCCUUAACAUUGUGUGAUCUUUGUAACUUGAGAUCCUUGCCUGAUUGGUUGGGAAAUCUUGCCUUGCUUCACUCAUUAAUAAUAUCUAAGUGCCCCAAGUUGAUGCAUCUUCCAAUGAGCAUUCAAUGCCUUAGCACUUUGCAAAGUUUGUCAAUAUAUGGUUGCCCAGAGUUAAAGAUACCGGCUGAGGAAGAUUGGCCAACAAUUCCUCACAUUCCGGAUAUUCAUGUGAGUCCAGAAACUAUAUACACUAGCGAACGAGGUGGUUGUUACACAACAUAUGGUAUAGCGUGAAGGUAUAUUCAGAUUUCAGAAUCCUUUCUAUACUAAUGCCCUCCUUGUGUUGAUAAAAGGGAGGAGAAGUAAAGAUUGUUAGAGAUUUUAUAGAUAAAGAAGAUAAGAAUUUUUGUUGGGUUAGUUCAAAGUGAUUUUUAAUGUUGAAAUAUUUUAAAUAUACAAGCAGAUUUUAAUAUUUCACUGAACAUUUUGUUAUGUUUCCUCUCUUCAUUUUCUUAUGUCAAUUCUAGAAUAUCGACGGCAUUAAAUUUCAAAUGCACUUAUUAGUGGUAGGAUCUUCUUACCCUUACUAUCUAGCCGAACUCCCAAAAGAUAUACCUUUUGAACUCUCAAAAUCAAUAAUAGGGAACAAAUAUUUUGGGUCUAUCAACCCACUUAGACUUCAAAGUAUUCUUCUUACAGCACAAUCUGUUAUUCUGGAACUAAAUUUAUGUUAUUAUUCCACAUGUUCAGGGCUCUAAACUGCAGAAGGUUCACAUGUUAACCAAGAAAGUUUUGGGCUUUUGAGAAUGAAAAUCUGGUGCUACCUGCAAGUGGUAUAUGAAGAGUUCAGUGUUGUCAAGUGUCAACCAUUCCCGGUUAAAUCUUAAGAAGUUUAUGAUCUUGAAAUCUUUCAUGGUUCCUUAACUGCUAGUAUGCUUAUUCUGGCUUCCUUUGAUAAGGUUUCACAAACAACCAUAUCAUCCUUUCAGUGUAUUAAAAAGUUCACUUUGAUGGAUAGUUCUGCAUAUUGAAGGUUGCAUAUCGUGCAAUUCUCUAUGGUGUGAACUUUCAUGUUUAAUUUUAUAGUUCAGGACCAAGAGGGUCUCAUUUUUCAGGGUUUAUUUCCUGUUCUGUUGGCAGGUGCUUAUUUUAUCUUGAAUGAAGUUUAAGCCAUCUCAUUAUUUUGUUAUAUAUGCAACUCAGGCUGAAACAUUAAGUCACAAACUUCUGUGCAGAGUUAUGAAAAAAACUGUACAUUGAUGAUAAUUAUCAUCUUCAAUAUUUUUCAUGACUCCAUGGCCUUUUAAUUUCUUAUGAGAGUUUUUUUAUUUCACUGUCCAACUUCAGCAUUUCAAAAGAAACUUACUUUGUUCCGAAAAGCAUCUAAAUUUUGUUGUAGAUUCUGUAAUCUACAAUAAUUUGUAUGAUGAAAGAAAAAACUCAAUCUAACUGUACUGUAAAGACAUUGUUAACCGCAUCAUGUUUACUAAUUAAGACAAAUUUCAGAUUACAUAUCUAGAUUCAUAUUCUUAAUAAAUGAGAAUUUGUCAAAUAUAUUUUCACCAUUUCUCUGAUUUCUUUGUGAUUUUGAGUGUUGCAUUCUCAUUGUGACAAAUGACUUGUGACUGAAUAACGAACGUUGGUUCAAGUAGUACAUGUUUGAUUCCCCUUGAGCAAGCAAAGUCUCGAGUUCAAGUCUUGUUGAUGAAAAAAAUGUCUGCAGGGAGAGUUAGCUCACAUACCUGUAGAUAUUCCUGGCAAGGAGGAUUGCCUCCGGUGCAAGGAUACAUGUGAUAAACAAAAAAAAAUGACUUGUGGCUGCAUUGAGUACAGUUAUACUUGCUAAUAGGAAAAAAAGAUCAUUUUUCCCAAAAAGUUCUCAUCUCCAUGUAGCCAUUAAUAAAUCAUCAACCAAAACUAUGAAUUUUUAUAUUUUAUUUACAUUCAAGUUGCUAUGAGUAUUAUGAAAUAAAAGAUAAUGCAAGCAGCACACUGAAAUGCUGCAUUUGCACCACUUACCAUAGCACUAGUUCUAAUGAAAGAUAAAGGAUGGAUAAUAAUCAUCUACUAUAAAUCAAUUUGGAUUACUCUUUUUCUGUCAUAGAUGAUCACACAUAUAAAAAGUCCUAUAUAUUUCCACUGAUAAUGCGUACACACAUUUAGGUCCAGAUACAAGAAACAUAGCACUCCUUUUUCAUUUUAUCAUAUACAUAUAAGAAAUCUUAUAGAUUUCAACCAGUAAGUUUACACACACUUAGGGCUUCACACAUUAUUAGUGCCUCCAUCUAAGAGAGCUUUAUUCUGAAUACCCACUGCCCCACACACCAGGCAUGUACUUCAUACCUUCUCUGCUGCAUCAAACAAUAUUUGGUUUGCUAUUCUGGCUCCUCGUUCUUUUGCCAUAUAUAGACCUACGUGAUGCAUAAACUCCUGCAAAUGGUACAUUACAUUUGCAAAAAUGAAUUCAACUUAUGCCUUAGUUUUGACACAUGCUUAUAUUUCUUUUGAAGACAGAUAUCCAGACAGCUUAUAUUUACUUAUGAAAAUGCACUUCUGAUGCUUAAAUAGUUUGUAUUAUUAUAUAAGCUUUUUUUAUAGAUAUAUCUACAUACCUGAGGAUGAGCUAAAGCUCCUUUGUUGUUUCUAGCAACCUCUAGAGGGAUAUCAAAGGUAGCACAGGCAUGUGAAUACACCACCACAUUUUCUAGGGGAUUCAGAAAACCGCGGUUUUUAGCUGACAUUGUUGAGCAUACAAAAUCCAGAACACAGA